rnacentral:rRNA from 2 species
UACGUAGGGUGCAAGCGUUAAUCGGAAUUACUGGGCGUAAAGCGUGCGCAGGCGGUUUUGUAAGUCUGACGUGAAAUCCCCGGGCUCAACCUGGGAAUUGCGUUGGAGACUGCAAGGCUGGAGUCUGGCAGAGGGGGGUAGAAUUCCACGUGUAGCAGUGAAAUGCGUAGAGAUGUGGAGGAACACCGAUGGCGAAGGCAGCCCCCUGGGUCAAGACUGACGCUCAUGCACGAAAGCGUGGGGAGCAAAC